rnacentral:rRNA from 1 species
GCUGGCGGCACGCCUUAUACAUGCAAGUCGAACGAAGUAGUAAUACUUAGUGGCAGACGGGUGAGUAACAUGUGGGUAUCUUCCCUUUGGUGAGGAAUAACACGAGGAAACUUGUGCUAAUACCUCAUAAGUCUUUACAGAGAAAGCUUUAUGCGCCAAUGGAUGAGCCCGCACUUGAUUAGUUUGUUGGUAGGGUAAUGGCCUACCAAGACUUUGAUCAAUAGCUGAUCUGAGAGGAUGAUCAGCCACAUUGGGACUGAGACACGGCCCAAACUCCUACGGGAGGCAGCAGUAGGGAAUAUUGCACAAUGGAGGAAACUCUGAUGCAGCGAUGCCGCGUGAGUGAAGAAGGCCUUUGGGUUGUAAAGCUCUUUCGUCGGGGAAGAAAAUGACGGUACCCGAAUAAGAAGGUCCGGCUAACUUCGUGCCAGCAGCCGCGGUAAUACGAAGGGACCUAGCGUAGUUCGGAAUUACUGGGCUUAAAGAGUUCGUAGGUGGUUAAAAAAGUUGGUUGUGAAAUCCCGAAGCUUAACUUCGGAACUGCAAUCAAAACUUUUUAGCUAGAGUAUGAUAGAGGAAAGCAGAAUUUCUAGUGUAGAGGUGAAAUUCGUAGAUAUUAGAAAGAAUACCAAUUGCGAAGGCAGCUUUCUGGAUCAUUACUGACGCUGAGGAACGAAAGCAUGGGUAGCGAAGAGGAUUAGAUACCCUCGUAGUCCAUGCCGUAAACGAUGUGUGUUAGACGUUGGAAAUUUAUUUUCAGUGUCGCAGCGAAAGCAGUAAACACACCGCCUGGGGAGUACGACCGCAAGUAAAACUAAUGAUGCG